rnacentral:lncRNA from 1 species
UAAUAAGCCACCAGUACCAUCAAUGUCGGCACCACACUAAGUCCCAACCCUACCCCGUGUCACAUGGUUCCCUAAGCACAACCCAGUCAAAAAGGGCACAUGCUGCAUUUGGCUUGUCACAGCGUCUUCUGUCCCCACUGAGCCUACGUUACUUCCAGUGAGACAGCCUUUUUCCCUCUUCUCUGAUUCUUGGGCAUACUUCCACAUCUCAGGAACUAUGUAACUCUUCACUAUCAAGGCUCAAGUUUCCCUGCUCUGAAACAGGUGCUACCACAUAUGUCUAACUCUGAGCUCUCCGUGGAGAGAGAGAAAGUAACUGCUGCAGAAACAGAACUUGGUAACCAGUUUAAAGAGUCCAAAGUUUCACUGGGUGGUGGUGGCGCACACCUUUGAUUCCAGCACUUGGGAGGCAGAGGCAGGUGGAUUUCUGAGUUCAAGGCCAGCCUGGUCUACAGAGUGAGUUCCAGGACAUCCAAAGCUAUACACAGAAACCCUGUCUGGAAAACAAAACAAAACAAACAAACAAACAAACAAAACAAAACGGAAAAAAAAAAAGUCCAAAGUUUCUAUUCUGAACAGAAGCAGAAAAAUAAAAUUUUACUAAUGAAAGAAAACUCAGUUUUCAAAAUGUACAGAUUGGAAAGGAGGUAAGAAAAACAUAGUUCCUCAACUUUAUUUCCAACCCUGAUGUCCUCAAAACCCAUUGGAUCCUGGGUUCUGCCCAUUGUGACUUAAGCCUUCUGAUGUCCGGCAGUUACAGUGCCCCAGGGAGUGCUUCGCUCACUAGAGCUAGUCCUAGCCUGCUAAGCAGUUAGAGUUGGUUAAUGCCAUUUAUGUAGUCUUACCUUUGAUGGGCUGUUGCUGAAGUAGUAAAAAAUCUUCUCUCGAGGAGAAGGCAUUGCUUCGUUGUUAUGUGGGGAAAUGUAGAUAGGAUGACUUUGAGAUAACUGUACUCGGCGAGGGGAGCCUGUUCUUACAAAUGGAUAGGGAGAGAGGGGAGGAGUGUCCGUCUGUGGAAAACAAAACAAGGAAUUCUGAGAAUAAGCCGUCCUAGCCAGGUUGCAUUAAAAGUCAACAGUUGAGUGGAAGGCUUUUGAAAGAUGAACAGUGGUGGAUCAGCAACAACCAAAGAAACUAGAGACUCACACCAACAGCUAACACAUGCAGGUGUUUAGUUCAGCCCCCAUGUGAAGCAUUUUUAUACAUUAUAUCAUUUGAGCCUCCCAGCAGUCAGACAACUACUGUCCUCAUUUCAUAUAUGAGGUGACUGACAACUGUACAGAGAGCUCAGUUGACUUGUGCCUUGAUACUCGUGUUGGAGACUGUUUAAAGAAUUACUUGUAAGCCUAGUUUAUGAUGGAAAACCUCAAGUGAUUCCUCCCCCUCGUGAGAGGCUGAACUCAGUGACCCUGCCCUACUGACCUGCGCGUUUGCCUGCGAGUACUUCAUGGCAAACGCUUGGAUUUGCUUCCUAUAGAUGUUGUUGUAGAACUGAAUGAGGUCUCCUCGUUCCUCCUCUUCAACGGUGCUGUUUGACCUCAUCACUGGGCUGGAAUCUCUACUGGCUGCAGCCAAGAGAACAAAGGGUGCCGGUCUGGAUUGUUUGAAAACAAGACAGCUCACUGGGAAAGGGGGAGAACAGCUCUAUAAAGCACUCGUCAUCAGGGGCAGUAAGCAGGCACUUUGAUUCUUCAGGGUUUGGUGCCUGUCACUCACGUCUAUGAAGACACACAUCUGUAUGGACACCACAGGCCAAUCCUGGGUACCAUUCUUUGGGAGCUAUCUACCUUGUUUUUUAAGACAGGGUCUCUCAGUUGGAGGCACACCAACUGACUAGGAGGCCAGCUAGCACACCUCAGUGACCCCCCCUCUGCCUCCCCAGAACUAGGACUGCAGGUGCUUGCCUCGCCUUUUCUGUAGAGGCUAGGGAUCAAUCAGGCCCACACCCUUGUGUAGUACAUUCUGUACUGACUGGCCUAUCUCCUCAGCCCUUGGUGGCGGUGGUGAUUAUUAUCCAAUGAGAGGCAGUCUCACUUUAUAGUCCAGGCAGGUCUGGAGCUCACACUCCUCCUGCCUUAGACGUGGUAGGACUGAGAUUACAGGCUCGGGCCACCACUCCUGGACCUUAAGCUAUGUUCUUCAUACCAAGGAGCAAAGCGCAAAAUACUAAUUACUCCAUUCCAUUAUCCUAACCGUACCUAGGUUAACUGAGUAGUUCAUAUUCGUAAGCUCCAUAGAGGGUUCUUGAACCUGAACCCUGUACUAACAGGUUUAGGUCAACAACUAGGAACAACAUUUAUAUAGCACAGGUCUAAUUGACAGGCAUGCUCUUUCUGGAAUUCAGGCUGGAAAUUCCUAUCUGAAACAUGGUGUUCUCUAUGUGUCUCAAAGCACUAGAAUAAAGAACAGGCCUCUAAAUUUAGUUUAUUCCAACAAAUUGUUUGAGAAUAAACUACUAUAUUUUACAUUCUUAGUCUUCUUGGCCUAACAAUAGAUGUUGAUAAAGACUCCUCCUCUUUACCUCUGUCUGUAUUUAGUUCGGUUGGAGAAUUCUGAUGGCUUCUGCUCUCACUGCUGCCAGAGUUUCUUCUUUUCCCUUUUAUCAAGACACUUCUGUACACCUUUAAAGAGACAAUGAGAAGGAGAUGCUAACUAGCACUUAUUGAAUAUACUAGGUGGUAGGACCUUAACAUGUGGUACUUGGUUCUCACAAAAAUCUACAUAGUGAUAGUUGUCUUCAGGGAAUGUUAGGAGCUACAGCCAAGUUAAGCAUUGGGCAUGUCUGUGAUCCCAGGACUCAGAGGGCUAAGUGUUGCGAGUUCAAGGCCAAUUUGGGCUGCUAUC